ACUGUACGUAUUGCCUCGAUAUAGCCUUAAUUCACAAGCGAAAGGUACUGGGUUCGAGUCCCAGAGUGGACA
rnacentral:tRNA from 1 species